ACAGUUGACUUUGUGCUUCAGUAGACACUGCAAGACAAUGUGGGAUGGCAUGUAAUCUCUAGACACAGAUAUACACUAAAGCAUAAAAUGAAAGGGAGUCACUUUAAAAUUUUUACUUCCUUUUUUUGAUACUUAUUUAUUCUACUCCCCCCCAUAGACAUGGGGAAUUUUAUUUUUAUUUGCAUUUUAACUAGAAUGUUUUGACAUUUUUUUGAAUUUUUGUAUGAAUUUAAGAUAUAAAUUUGAAAAAUUAAGAAAUGGAUGAUUUAAAACUUGAAUAUUAAUAAGAAAUUGAAUGUUUUAUCUGAAUUAUUUAUAUUUUUCCCCUUUAAAAAAUGUGUAUGGCUGUUUUGCCUGCAUGUCUAUCUGUGUACCACAUGUGUGCAGUGCCUGUGGAGGAAGGAAGAUGUCAGCUCCUCUGAGCUAGAGUUGUAGGUAGUUGUGAGCCACCACAUAGGGGCUGAGACUUAAGCCUGGUCGUCUGCAGUAGCAGCCAGUGCUCUUACAUACCGAGCCAUCUCUCCAGCCUUCUGAAUUCUCUCGUAGUACACUGAGUCUCAGGGUUAAGAUAUUGAAGUAAUACCCUUGGCCAUAACCACAGCCCCUGUUCUUGUUAAUACUGUAUACUACGCAUAGAUGUUAUAUGCAGAUGUUAUCCUGUUCUUGUUAAUCUGUAUACUACGCAUAGAUGUUAUAUGCAGAUGUUAUCCUGUUCUUGUUAAUCUGUAUACUACGCAUAGAUGUUAUAUGCAGAUGUUAUCCUGUUCUUGUUAAUACUGUAUACUAUGCAUAGAUGUUAUACGCAGAUGUUAUCCUGUUCUUGUUAAUACUGUAUACUAUGCAUAGAUGUUAUACGCAGAUGUUAUCCUGUUCUUGUUAAUACUGUAUACUACGCAUAGAUGUUAUAUGCAGAUGUUAUCCUGUUCUUGUUAAUCUGUAUACUACGCAUAGAUGUUAUAUACAGAUGUUAUCCUGUUCUUGUUAAUACUGUAUACUACGCAUAGAUGUUAUAUGCAGAUGUUAUCCUGUUCUUGUUAAUACUGUAUACUACGCAUAGAUGUUAUAUGCAGAUGUUAUCCUGUUCUUGUUAAUACUGUAUACUACGCAUAGAUGUUAUAUGCAGAUGUUAUCCUGUUCUUGUUAAUACUGUAUACUACGCAUAGAUGUUAUAUACAGAUGUUAUCCUGUUCUUGUUAAUACUGUAUACAACGCAUAGAUGUUAUAUACAGAUGUUAUCCUGUUCUUGUUAAUACUGUAUACUACGCAUAGAUGUUAUAUGCAGAUGUUAUCCUGUUCUUGUUAAUACUGUAUACUGUGCAUAGAUGU
rnacentral:lncRNA from 1 species